ensembl:snRNA U5 U5 spliceosomal RNA
AGACUCUGGUUUCUCUUCAGAUUGAAAAAAUCUUUCACCUUUUACUAAGGAUUUCCAUGGAGAGAAACAACUCUGAGUCUUUGACUAAUUUUUUUUGAGGCCUUACUUUGUGUGAGGCU